GUGUUCAUUUCAGCAGCACAUAAACUAAAUUGGAAUGACAUAGAGAAGAUUAGCAUGUCUCCUGGCCAAAGAUGACUCACAAGUUGUGAACAAUUGGAAUUAUGA